AACGAACGCUGGCGGCGUGCCUAACACAUGCAAGUCGAACGAGAAAGGGGCUUCGGCUCCGAGUAAAGUGGCGCACGGGUGAGUAACACGUGGGUAACCUGCCUCUAAGAUUGGGAUAACUCGUCGAAAGAUGAGCUAAUACCGGAUAAGACCACAGUUCCCGCGGGAACAGGGGUCAAAGGUAGCCUCUGCUUGCAAGCUAUCACUUAGAGAUGGGCCUGCGCACCAUUAGCUAGUUGGUAGGGUAACGGCCUACCAAGGCAAAGAUGGUUAGCUGGGCUGGGAGGAUGAUAAGCAAAGAUGGAGCGGGGACACGGUCCAGACUCCUACGGGAGGCAGCAGUGGGGAAUAUUGCGCAAGGGGCGAAAGCUUGACGUAGCAACGCCGCGUGAGUGAUGAAGGCCUUCGGGUCGUAAAGCUCUGUCGGGAGGAACGAAUGCUCCCAAGGUUAACAGCCUCGGGAGGUGACGGUACCUUCAAAGGAAGCACCGGCUAACUCUGUGCCAGCAGCCGCCGUAACAC
rnacentral:rRNA from 1 species